GGGGAGCCCUAGCACAGGUUGCUGCAUGGCCGUCGUCAGCUCGUGCCGUGAGGUGUUGGGUUAAGUCCCGCAACGAGCGCAACCCUUGUCUCUAGUUGCCAUCAUUCAGUUGGGCUACUCUAGAGAGACUGCCGGUGGAUAAACCGGAGGAAGGUGGGGACGACGUCAAGUCCUCAUGGCCUUUAUGCCUAGGGCUACACACGUGCUACAAUGGAUCGUACAAAGGGUCGCGAACCCGCGAGGGGGAGCCAAUCCCAAAAACCGGUCCUCAGUUCGGAUUGGAGUCUGCAACUCGACUCCAUGAAGUUGGAAUCGCUAGUAAUCGUGGAUCAGCAUGCCACGGUGAAUACGUUCCCGGGCCUU
rnacentral:rRNA from 1 species